ensembl:lncRNA
GUUCUCACUGCUUUGUAUUCAUCAGUUUGCUCAAACUGCCCAGGGAUUGCCCAGUAAGUAGACACUCUUCUUAUCCUCCUUGACAGAUAAGGAAACUGAGACUCAGAGAGACUAACUAAUGUGCUUGAAAUGAUACAACUGGAAAGGAGGGGGAUCCAACUUUGGACUCAGUUGGGCUCUGUAACCACAACACCAUUCAUAAGUUGCUGGUAAAAAGUGAACCAAGUAAAUAAGAAGUUCGGAUGGAAACCUGGCAUUGUCACUGUGGGAGAGGAAGUGGGAGCUGACUGUGGGCAGGAAGUGGCUUUGCCCUGUGGUCUAGGUGAGGAGGAAGCACUUGCAUGGACGCUUCUAUAAGCUAUGGGCUUUCCUCUCGAUGGACGCAGCCGCGUGUGGCAGGGGGCCACUGCUGAGGUCUGGGUUGAUGCAAGUUGUGGGUUUACCAACAGGUAUCUUAUUCCCAGGUAGUACAAAUGGUAAAGACUCCACCUGCCAUUACAGGAGGUGCAAGAGACAUGAUUUUGAUCCCUGGGUCAGGAAGGUCCCUGGAG